rnacentral:rRNA from 1 species
GAGUUUGAUCCUGGCUCAGGAUGAACGCUAGCGGCAGGCUUAACACAUGCAAGUCGAGGGGUAACGGGGAAGCUUGCUUCCGCCGACGACCGGCGCACGGGUGCGUAACGCGUAUACAAUCUACCUUGUACUGGGGUAUAGCCUUUAGAAAUGAAGAUUAACCCCCCAUAGUCUCUUAGAGUGGCAUCACUUCUAGAGUAAAGGUUACGGUAUAAGAUGAGUAUGCGUUCUAUUAGUUUGUUGGUGUGGUAACGGCACACCAAGACUACGAUAGAUAGGGGCCCUGAGAGGGGGAUCCCCCACACUGGUACUGAGACACGGACCAGACUCCUACGGGAGGCAGCAGUGAGGAAUAUUGGACAAUGGAGGCAACUCUGAUCCAGCCAUGCCGCGUGCAGGAAGACUGCCCUAUGGGUUGUAAACUGCUUUUAUACAGGAAGAAACACCUCUACGUGUAGAGGCUUGACGGUACUGUAAGAAUAAGGAUCGGCUAACUCCGUGCCAGCAGCCGCGGUAAUACGGAGGAUCCAAGCGUUAUCCGGAAUCAUUGGGUUUAAAGGGUCCGUAGGUGGAUAAUUAAGUCAGAGGUGAAAUCUUGCAGCUCAACUGUAAAAUUGCCUUUGAAACUGGUUAUCUUGAGUUAUUAUGAAGUAGUUAGAAUAUGUAGUGUAGCGGUGAAAUGCAUAGAUAUUACAUAGAAUACCAAUUGCGAAGGCAGAUUACUAAUAAUCAACUGACACUGAUGGACGAAAGCGUGGGUAGCGAACAGGAUUAGAUACCCUGGUAGUCCACGCCGUAAACGAUGGUUACUAGCUGUUUGGACUUCGGUCUGAGUGGCUAAGCGAAAGUGAUAAGUAACCCACCUGGGGAGUACGUUCGCAAGAAUGAAACUCAAAGGAAUUGACGGGGGCCCGCACAAGCGGUGGAGCAUGUGGUUUAAUUCGAUGAUACGCGAGGAACCUUACCAGGGCUUAAAUGUAAGUUGCAUUAGUUAGAGAUAGCUAUUUCUUCGGACCACUUACAAGGUGCUGCAUGGUUGUCGUCAGCUCGUGCCGUGAGGUGUCAGGUUAAGUCCUAUAACGAGCGCAACCCCUGUUGUUAGUUGCCAGCGAGUCAUGUCGGGAACUCUAGCAAGACUGCCAGUGCAAACUGUGAGGAAGGUGGGGAUGACGUCAAAUCAUCACGGCCCUUACGUCCUGGGCUACACACGUGCUACAAUGGUAGGUACAGAGAGCAGCCACUGCGCGAGCAGGAGCGAAUCUAUAAAACCUAUCACAGUUCGGAUCGGAGUCUGCAACUCGACUCCGUGAAGCUGGAAUCGCUAGUAAUCGGAUAUCAGCCAUGAUCCGGUGAAUACGUUCCCGGGCCUUGUACACACCGCCCGUCAAGCCAUGGAAGUUGGAAGUGCCUGAAGUCCGUCACCGUAAGGAGCGGCCUAGGGUAAAGUCGAUAACUAGGGCUAAGUAGAGACAAGGUAACC